UCUCUCUGUCUUCAUUCUUCUAUUUCUUCUCUUCAACAUUUCAUAACCCAGCAAGAAUACAAAAACACUAACAACUCCAUGCCCUAGUGAAAAAUAUUGGCCAGCUACAAAUCAGCAGCCUAUUGCUCCUGGCAUGCCAAAUAGGCCGACAGCAAGAGAGUAAUAUGAGCCACAACCACCAUCAACCUCAAAAGAAUUGCCUAGAGGCUUCAUUAAGAUCACAUGCAGCAAGUGUGUGGCGACAAAGAUCAUAACGUACAACCAGAUAAUACAUGCCAGUGAAGGAGGAGAUAUGGGUAGCGAAACUUCACCAAAUCUGAGACAAGCACAAUCUGCAUCAACUGCAACUUCAUUCAUUUUCUUUUCUCUAGACACUUGUUUCACAUCAUUAUAUGCACUAAUCACUUUAUCACCAGUCAUACCUUGCAUAUUGCAAUAAUUCCAUUUGAAAUUUUAGUGGAAGAUUCUGAAUUAUUUUCCAACCAGAGAUAAUAGUGAUUUUGCUUUUUCU